rnacentral:rRNA from 1 species
UACGAAGGGGGCUAGCGUUGCUCGGAAUCACUGGGCGUAAAGCGCACGUAGGCGGAUUGUUAAGUCAGGGGUGAAAUCCUGGAGCUCAACUCCAGAACUGCCUUUGAUACUGGGACGUACUCGCAGUCCGGGAGAGGUGAGUGGAACUGCGAGUGUAGAGGUGAAAUUCGUAGAUAUUCGCAAGAACACCAGUGGCGAAGGCGGCUCACUGGCC